CAGCAGCCGCGGUAAUACGUAGGUCCCGAGCGUUGUCCGGAUUUAUUGGGCGUAAAGGGAGCGCAGGCGGUUUAGUAAGUCUGAAGUUAAAGGCAUUGGCUCAACCAAUGUACGCUUUGGAAACUGUUUAACUUGAGUGCAAGAGGGGAGAGUGGAAUUCCAUGUGUAGCGGUGAAAUGCGUAGAUAUGUGGAGGAACACCGGUGGCGAAAGCGGCUCUCUGGCUUGUAACUGACGCUGAGGCUCGAAAGCGUGGGGAGCAAACAGGAUUAGAUACCCCCGUAGUCCCUGUCUCUUAUACC
rnacentral:rRNA from 1 species